UGGGGAAUAUUGGACAAUGGGGGCAACCCUGAUCCAGCAAUGCCGCGUGAGUGAUGAAGGCCUUCGGGUUGUAAAGCUCUUUUGGCGGGGACGAUGAUGACGGUACCCGCAGAAUAAGCCCCGGCUAACUUCGUGCCAGCAGCCGCGGUAAUACGAAGGGGGCUAGCGUUGUUCGGAAUUACUGGGCGUAAAGGGCGCGUAGGCGGUCCUGAUCGUCGGAUGUGAAAGGCCUGGGCUCAACCUGGGAAUGGCAUCCGAUACGGCGGGACUGGAGUGUGGGAGAGGUUGGUGGAAUUCCCAGUGUAGAGGUGAAAUUCGUAGAUAUUGGGAAGAACACCGGUGGCGAAGGCGGCCAACUGGACCACAACUGACGCUGAGGCGCGAAAGCGUGGGGAGCAAACAGG
rnacentral:rRNA from 1 species